rnacentral:rRNA from 1 species
AUUGAACGCUGGCGGCAGGCCUAACACAUGCAAGUCGAGCGGAUGAAGGGAGCUUGCUCCUGGAUUCAGCGGCGGACGGGUGAGUAAUGCCUAGGAAUCUGCCUGGUAGUGGGGGAUAACGUCCGGAAACGGGCGCUAAUACCGCAUACGUCCUGAGGGAGAAAGUGGGGGAUCUUCGGACCUCACGCUAUCAGAUGAGCCUAGGUCGGAUUAGCUAGUUGGUGGGGUAAAGGCCUACCAAGGCGACGAUCCGUAACUGGUCUGAGAGGAUGAUCAGUCACACUGGAACUGAGACACGGUCCAGACUCCUACGGGAGGCAGCAGUGGGGAAUAUUGGACAAUGGGCGAAAGCCUGAUCCAGCCAUGCCGCGUGUGUGAAGAAGGUCUUCGGAUUGUAAAGCACUUUAAGUUGGGAGGAAGGGCAGUAAGUUAAUACCUUGCUGUUUUGACGUGACCAACAGAAUAAGCACCGGCGAACUUCGU